CUUGCGGUCAAAUCACGCUGAAACACCGGUUCUCGUACGAUCACCGAAGUUAAGCAGCGUAGAGCCAGGUCAGUACUUAGAUGGGGGACCGCUUGGGAACACCUGGUACUGUAAG
rnacentral:rRNA from 1 species